UGGGGAAUCUUGCGCAAUGGGCGAAAGCCUGACGCAGCCAUGCCGCGUGAAUGAUGAAGGUCUUAGGAUUGUAAAAUUCUUCACCGGGGACGAUAAUGACGGUACCCGGAGAAGAAGCCCCGGCUAACUUCGUGCCAGCAGCCGCGGUAAUACGAAGGGGGCUAGCGUUGCUCGGAAUUACUGGGCGUAAAGGGAGCGUAGGCGGACAUUUAAGUCAGGGGUGAAAUCCCGGGGCUCAACCCCGGAAUUGCCUUUGAUACUGGGUGUCUUGAGUGUGAGAGAGGUAUGUGGAACUCCGAGUGUAGAGGUGAAAUUCGUAGAUAUUCGGAAGAACACCAGUGGCGAAGGCGACAUACUGGUUCAUUACUGACGCUGAGGCUCGAAAGCGUGGGGAGCAAACNGGAUUAGAUACCCUGGUAGUCCACGCCGUAAAACGAUGAUUGCUAGUUGUCGGGAUGCAUGCAUCUCGGUGACGCAGCUAACG
rnacentral:rRNA from 1 species